UACGAAGGGGGCUAGCGUUGCUCGGAAUCACUGGGCGUAAAGCGCACGUAGGCGGAUCUUUAAGUCAGGGGUGAAAUCCUGGAGCUCAACUCCAGAACUGCCCUUGAUACUGGGGAUCUUGAGUCCGGAAGAGGUGAGUGGAACUCCGAGUGUAGAGGUGAAAUUCGUAGAUAUUCGGAAGAACACCAGUGGCGAAGGCGGCUCACUGGUCCGGUACUGACGCUGAGGUGCGAAAGCGUGGAGAGCAAACAGG
rnacentral:rRNA from 1 species